CUCAGAAUUGUUUUUUUCGUUAGCAAUGAUUAAUUGCUUACAGAUGUACAUUAAAUUGCCGUCUGUAUCCCACAUUCUCAACUUUCCACCUAAGACAGUGGCUGCACUCGUCCCCAAUAUCCUAGAACAGCUUUUUUCUUAUUCAUUUUUAUUAUCAAACGUAUCUCUCGAAAGCGUAUACGCGGAAACACGAGCUUCCGAAAACUUGACGUUCGAUUGUACGACAUUCGAACAUUCGAUUUCAAAACUGCUGGUGACACGUUCUUGUAUGAGUAUUAUUGUCACACAUAUUCAAAUAUCGUUUUAUCAUCGAUAAAAUAACACUAGUUGAGGUAACGAAUAGCGUGUUAACAUGUUCCUGUGGAGUUUUCUGGAGUAAACCAACUUGUGAGAUAAAAGUAUAG